GACGUAGGUGGCGAACGUUAUCCGGAAUUAUUGGGCGUAAAGGAUGCGUAGAUGGUGUAGUAAGUUAUCGGUGGCAAAUCGAGGCUCAACCUCGUGGAAGUCGGUAAUACUGCUAUGCUAGAGGAUAGGAGAGGUUAACGGAACUCCCUGUGGAGCGGUGAAAUGCGUAGAUAUAGGGAAGAACACCAAUCAGGCGAAGGCAGUUAACUAUUCUAUUCCUGACAUUGAGGCAUGAAAGCGUGGGAGCAAAACGG
rnacentral:rRNA from 1 species